AGCAGCCGCGGUAAUUCCAGCUCCAAUAGCGUAUAUUAAAGUUGUUGCAGUUAAAAAGCUCGUAGUUGAAUUUCGGGAUCAAUACGUCGGUCGUGCCUCGGUACGUACUAACGUCAUUGAUUUCUCCCUUCUGACUAGCCGUGAUGUCAUUAAUUUGGUGUUACGGGGAGUCAGGACUGUUACUUUGAAAAAUUAGAGUGUUUAAAGCAGGCAAUCGCUCGAAUACAUUAGCAUGGAAUAAUGAAAUAGGACGUUCGAACCUAUUUUGUUGGUUUCUAGGAUCGACGUAAUGAUUAAUAGGGAUAGUUGGGGGCAUUAGUAUUCAAUUGUCAGAGGUGAAAUUCUUGGAUUUAUUGAAGACUAACUACUGCGAAAGCAUUUGCCAAGGAUGUUUUCAUUAAUCAAGAACGAAAGUUAGGGGAUCGAAGACGAUCAGAUACCGUCGUAGUC
rnacentral:rRNA from 1 species